CUUUUACAAUGAAGAGUUUGAUCCUGGCUCAGGAUGAACGCUAGCUACAGGCUUAACACAUGCAAGUCGAGGGGCAGCAUUUCAGUUUGCUAGCAAACUGGAGAUGGCGACCGGCGCACGGGUGAGUAACACGUAUCCAACCUGCCGAUAACUCGGGGAUAGCCUUUCGAAAGAAAGAUUAAUACCCGAUGGCAUAAUUAGACCGCAUGGUCUUAUUAUUAAAGAAUUUCGGUUAUCGAUGGGGAUGCGUUCCAUUAGGCAGUUGGUGAGGUAACGGCUCACCAAACCUUCG
rnacentral:rRNA from 1 species